GAUGAAGAACGCAGCGAAAUGCGAUAAGUAAUGUGAAUUGCAGAAUUCAGUGAAUCAUCGAAUCUUUGAACGCACCUUGCACUCCUUGGUAUUCCGAGGAGUACGCCUGUUCGAGUGUUAUGAAGCUCUCAAAACGCAAUUGGCUUAAAACCUGAUUGUUGUUUUGGAUUUGAACUUUGCCGUGUUAUAACGGCUGGUUUUAAAAGUAUUAGCUGGUACUAGAACGAAUUGGUUCUACUCAACGUGAUAAUUAUCUGAUCGUUGAGGACAUUCCUUUCACGAGGAAUGGCCAUAGUAAAUUCAAUGGACUGCUUCUAAUCUGGCUUUAAUUCUUUAUUGGAUUAACCACUUUUCAAAUCUGACCUCGAAUCAGGUGGGACUACCCGCUGAACUUAAGCAUAUCAAUAAGCGAGA
rnacentral:misc_RNA from 1 species